CCGCCCCGCGCCUCGCGACUCCUUCCCUGAGAAGGUCAAAGCCCAAGGCCCCGGGCUGGAGAAAACGGGGGUGGCCGUGAACAAACCCGCCGAGUUCACGGUGGACGCCAAAAGCGGGGGGAAGGGACCCCUCAAGGUGCAGGUGCAGGACGCGGAGGGCAACCCCGUGGACGUGUCGGUCAAGGACAACGGCAACGGCACCUCAAGCUGCUCCUAC